rnacentral:rRNA from 1 species
UACAGAGGGGGCAAGCGUUGUUCGGAAUUACUGGGCGUAAAGGGCGCGUAGGCGGCCUGUUAAGUCGAACGUGAAAUCCCCGGGCUCAACCCGGGAACUGCGUCCGAUACUGGCAGGCUUGAAUUCGGGAGAGGGAUGUGGAAUUCCAGGUGUAGCAGUGAAAUGCGUAGAUAUCUGGAGGAACACCGGUGGCGAAGGCGGCGAGCUGGUCCAUCACUGACGCUGAGGCGCGACAGCGUGGGGAGCAAACAGG